rnacentral:rRNA from 1 species
AGUGAACGCUGGCGGUAGGCCUAACACAUGCAAGUCGAACGGCAGCACAGUAAGAGCUUGCUCUUACGGGUGGCGAGUGGCGGACGGGUGAGGAAUACAUCGGAAUCUACUUUUUCGUGGGGGAUAACGUAGGGAAACUUACACUAAUACCGCAUACGACCUACGGGUGAAAGCAAGGGAUCUUCGGACCUUGCGCGAUUGAAUGAGCCGAUGUCGGAUUAGCUAGUUGGCGGGGUAAAGGCCCACCAAGGCGACGAUCCGUAGCUGGUCUGAGAGGAUGAUCAGCCACACUGGAACUGAGACACGGUCCAGACUCCUACGGGAGGCAGCAGUGGGGAAUAUUGGACAAUGGGCGCAAGCCUGAUCCAGCCAUACCGCGUGGGUGAAGAAGGCCUUCGGGUUGUAAAGCCCUUUUGUUGGGAAAGAAAAGCAGCAGGUUAAUACCCCGCUGUUCUGACGGUACCCAAAGAAUAAGCACCGGCUAACUUCGUG